GGGUUGUGAGGUUAAGCGACUAAGCGUACACGGUGGAUGCCCUGGCAGUCAGAGGCGAUGAAGGACGUGCUAAUCUGCGAUAAGCGUCGGUGAGGUGAUAUGAACCGUUAUAACCGGCGAUUUCCGAAUGGGGAAACCCAGUGUGUUUCGACACACUAUCAUUAACUGAAUCCAUAGGUUAAUGAGGCGAACCGGGGGAACUGAAACAUCUAAGUACCCCGAGGAAAAGAAAUCAACCGAGAUUCCCCCAGUAGCGGCGAGCGAACGGGGAGGAGCCCAGAGCCUGAAUCAGUGUGUGUGUUAGUGGAAGCGUCUGGAAAGGCGCGCGAUACAGGGUGACAGCCCCGUACACAAAAAUGCACAUAUUGUGAGCUCGAUGAGUAGGGCGGGACACGUGGUAUCCUGUCUGAAUAUGGGGGGACCAUCCUCCAAGGCUAAAUACUCCUGACUGACCGAUAGUGAACCAGUACCGUGAGGGAAAGGCGAAAAGAACCCCGGCGAGGGGAGUGAAAAAGAACCUGAAACCGUGUACGUACAAGCAGUGGGAGCCUCUUAAUGGGGUGACUGCGUACCUUUUGUAUAAUGGGUCAGCGACUUAUAUUCUGUAGCAAGGUUAACCGAAUAGGGGAGCCGAAGGGAAACCGAGUCUUAACUGGGCGUUAAGUUGCAGGGUAUAGACCCGAAACCCGGUGAUCUAGCCAUGGGCAGGUUGAAGGUUGGGUAACACUAACUGGAGGACCGAACCGACUAAUGUUGAAAAAUUAGCGGAUGACUUGUGGCUGGGGGUGAAAGGCCAAUCAAACCGGGAGAUAGCUGGUUCUCCCCGAAAGCUAUUUAGGUAGCGCCUCGUGAAUUCAUCUCCGGGGGUAGAGCACUGUUUCGGCAAGGGGGUCAUCCCGACUUACCAACCCGAUGCAAACUGCGAAUACCGGAGAAUGUUAUCACGGGAGACACACGGCGGGUGCUAACGUCCGUCGUGAAGAGGGAAACAACCCAGACCGCCAGCUAAGGUCCCAAAGUCAUGGUUAAGUGGGAAACGAUGUGGGAAGGCCCAGACAGCCAGGAUGUUGGCUUAGAAGCAGCCAUCAUUUAAAGAAAGCGUAAUAGCUCACUGGUCGAGUCGGCCUGCGCGGAAGAUGUAACGGGGCUAAACCAUGCACCGAAGCUGCGGCAGCGACACUAUGUGUUGUUGGGUAGGGGAGCGUUCUGUAAGCCUGUGAAGGUGGCCUGUGAGGGUUGCUGGAG
rnacentral:rRNA from 1 species